rnacentral:rRNA from 1 species
GACGAACGCUGGCGGCGUGCUUAACACAUGCAAGUCGAGCGGUAAGGCCCUUCGGGGUACACGAGCGGCGAACGGGUGAGUAACACGUGGGUGACCUGCCUUUAGCUCUGGGAUAAGCCUGGGAAACUGGGUCUAAUACCGGAUAUGACCUCAUGACGCAUGUUGUGGGGUGGAAAGCCUUGUGCGGCUAGAGAUGGGCCCGCGGCCUAUCAGCUUGUUGGUGGGGUGANGGCCUACCAAGGCGACGACGGGUAGCCGGCCUGAGAGGGCGACCGGCCACACUGGGACUGAGACACGGCCCAGACUCCUACGGGAGGCAGCAGUGGGGAAUCUUGCGCAAUGGGCGAAAGCCUGACGCAGCGACGCCGCGUGAGGGAUGACGGCC